rnacentral:lncRNA from 1 species
AACUGAAAAAUUGACUGUUUGAACUCCCUGAAACAAAUGAUGCUUGAGUGGUUUCAUGCAUAAUAACUGCCUUGGAUGUAAAUAGGGCCAUCAGUCAGCAGGCCCCCAGGAACUUGCUGUUCUAGCACACCCCCAGCAAGUCAGGGCCCCUCCUGACCAGGGACCAAGGCUUCGGAGAAGACUCUGGAGAAGGCUCGGAGGAAACUGGGGAAGCUGGUUCUUUGGCCCAAAGUGCUUUUACAGCCUACCUGUAUUGUACCGGCCCUCCUAGACGGAUGGAACUCCCCUGUCCUCUGCAGGAAUGUCAAAAGCCACCCAUCUUUAACCACCUAAUGCUCCCAUCAGCAAUGGUACUAGAUGUCAGAGUCAAGGGAGCUGAGGAAGGCAUCCAAGUAAGGAGGUGGCGUUGGCACUCCCUGACAAGGCUACUGGAGUGCA